rnacentral:rRNA from 1 species
AACGAACGCCGGCCGCAUGCCUAACAUAUGUAAGUGGAACGAGACCUUCGGGUCUAGUGGCGCACGGGUGCGUAACGCGUGGGAACCUGCCCUUAGGUUCGGAAGAACUCCUCGAAAGGGGUGCUAAUACCGGAUAAUGACCUCGGACCAAAGAUUUAUAGCCUUUGGAUGGGCCCGUGUUGGAUUAGCUAGUUGGUAGGGUAAAAGCCUACCAAGGCGACGAUCCAUAGCUGGUCUGAGAGGAUGAUCAGCCACACUGGGACUGAGACACGGCCCAGACUCCUACGGGAGGCAGCAGUGUGGAAUAUUGGACAAUGGGCGAAAGCCUGAUCCAGCAAUGCCGCGUGAGUGAUGAAGUCCUUAGGGUUGUAAAGCUCUUUUACCCGGGAUGAUAAUGACAGUACCGGGAGAAGAAGCUCCGGCUGGCUCCGU